rnacentral:rRNA from 1 species
AACGAACGCUGGCGGCAUGCCUAACACAUGCAAGUCGAACGAGACCUUCGGGUCUAGUGGCGCACGGGUGCGUAACGCGUGGGAAUCUGCCCUUGGGUUCGGAAUAACAGUUAGAAAUGACUGCUAAUACCGGAUGAUGUCUUCGGACCAAAGAUUAUCGCCCAAGGAUGAGCCCGCGUAGGAUUAGCUAGUUGGUGAGGUAAAGGCUCACCAAGGCGACGAUCCUUAGCUGGUCUGAGAGGAUGAUCAGCCACACUGGGACUGAGACACGGCCCAGACUCCUACGGGAGGCAGCAGUGGGGAAUAUUGGACAAUGGGCGAAAGCCUGAUCCAGCAAUGCCGCGUGAGUGAUGAAGGCCCUAGGGUUGUAAAGCUCUUUUACCCGGGAUGAUAAUGACAGUACCGGGAGAAUAAGCCCCGGCUAACUCCGUGCCAGCCGCCGCCGUAA